GAUGAAGAACGUAGCGAAAUGCGAUAAGUAAUGUGAAUUGCAGAAUUCAGUGAAUUAUCGAAUCUUUGAACGCACCUUGCGCCCUUUGGCUAUUCUGAAGGGCAUGCCUGUUUGAGUAUCAUGAACACCUCAACUCUCAUGGUUCGCCAUGAUGAGCUUGGACUUUGGGGGUCUUGCUGGCCUACGGUCGGCUCCUCUUAAAUGAAUCAGCUUGCCAGUGUUUGGUAGAGUCGCAGGUGUGAUAACUAUCUACGCUUGUGGUUUUCUGCCAGAUAACCUUCAGUGAUGGAGGUUCGCUGGAGCUUAUAAAUGUCUCUCCCCAGUGAGGACAGCUUUUUGAACGUUUGAUCUCAAAUCAGGUAGGACUACCCGCUGAACUUAAGCAUAUCAAUAAGCGGAGGA
rnacentral:misc_RNA from 1 species